rnacentral:rRNA from 1 species
UACGAAGGGGGCUAGCGUUGCUCGGAAUCACUGGGCGUAAAGCGCACGUAGGCGGCUUUCUAAGUCAGGGGUGAAAUCCUGGAGCUCAACUCCAGAACUGCCUUUGAUACUGGGAAGCUCGAGUCCGGAAGAGGUGAGUGGAACUGCGAGUGUAGAGGUGAAAUUCGUAGAUAUUCGCAAGAACACCAGUGGCGAAGGCGGCCAACUGGUCCGGUACUGACGCUGAGGUGCGAAAGCGUGGGGAGCAAACAGG